rnacentral:tRNA from 1 species
GCCCCCUUGAUGAAACUGGUAGCCAUAAGGGACUUAAAAUCCCUCGCCUUCGGGCGUGCCGGUUCGAGUCCGGCAGGGGGCACCA